GUGGGGAAUCUUGCGCAAUGGGCGAAAGCCUGACGCAGCCAUGCCGCGUGGAUGAUGAAGGUCUUAGGAUUGUAAAAUCCUUUCACCGGUGAAGAUAAUGACUGUAGCCGGAGAAGAAGCCCCGGCUAACUUCGUGCCAGCAGCCGCGGUAAUACGAAGGGGGCUAGCGUUGCUCGGAAUUACUGGGCGUAAAGGGAGCGUAGGCGGACAUUUAAGUCAGGGGUGAAAUCCCGAGGCUCAACCUCGGAACUGCCUUUGAUACUGGGUGUCUUGAGUGUGAGAGAGGUGAGUGGAACUCCGAGUGUAGAGGUGAAAUUCGUAGAUAUUCGGAAGAACACCAGUGGCGAAGGCGACUCACUGGCUCAUUACUGACGCUGAGGCUCGAAAGCGUGGGGAGCAAACAGGAUUAGAAACCCGGGUAGUCC
rnacentral:rRNA from 1 species